rnacentral:ncRNA from 1 species
CAAAUCUGAAAGGGCUAGCCACCUGCCCCCGUAUCGAGCCUUGGGCCCAUGGCGGAGUAUUGUAAGCGAUACGAACAAGAUGGACUAAGCGUAGGCAGAGAAUCCUUGAGAUCGUAGGGGAGAUCGCUCCCUUGCGUGCUGGAACAGCUUCGAAAUGAAUAUUUGCGGACGUCGAGGGUUUCUGAGCCCCCGAAGACAAUACGAAGCAUCCGAAAAUGGCGAGGAUGUGGAGGUCCGCCGGAGUCGA